ACGUGAAUUAUCACGCCAAGUAGAAGCUUUAGAAAAACAUUGUCGAACAUUUCAACUGAACUUUUAAUUUUCUAUCAUAAUCUUGAUGUGUUUUUAUAGUAUACAAUGUAAUCAAAUAUUUUACUUAUAACAAAGUUUAUUAUAUUACUAAUAUGAAAUAGUUUUGGUACCUCAUUUCUCCCAAAGGCUGAAUUCUAAGAACUACUCCCGCCAAACUGCAGAUCUAGUUGGAUGGAAAUAAUGAGAAAAUCUAUCAUGCAAUUUUUACUAAGUAUUAGUAGUAACGGCAAAGAAAAGUCGAAAACCAGCAUUCAGAUUGAAGAAAAGUUAUUGGUCGUCAAAUUCUUUGAAGAAGUCCAACCAAAUAACUGUGACGCAAAUCUAAAAAUAUUGGAAUAAUCCGGCAUUGAAAAGUUAUAUCAACGAUGGAACAAUGAAUCAUUCUUUCUUUUGUAUUUUUCGAAGCCAACUGUGCAACAUCACACUACUUCUACUGCGAUUUUUGUCAACUUUUGAUCAAAAAGUGUCUUGUGACACAAUUCAAAGGAUGUCAAAGCUGUCGUCAGCGAGCUUUUUAUUCAGGACAUAGCUCAAAAUGCGUGUUUAGGGAAAUGGACACAAUUCAAAAUGUGUGUUUAAGAUAAUGCACUUAAUUUUGUUUUUCACAUUUUUGAAUUGAAAUCUUUCCCUUUUCUAAAAAAAUAAACUAACUGAUCUAAAUAAAAUCGCAAUGUGAUGCCUACUCUACUUAGUACCUACAGUUUUCCAAAAUUUAAAUUUUUAAAUUAAAAUUUUCAUUGUUUUUAAAGAUAAUAAAAGCCUCGUAAAAGAACUGAAAAGAUUUAAGUCCUUUUUACAAUACGUUUAUAAUACAUUGACGAAUUUAGAAUUUUAAAAUCGCUUAGAAACUGAAAAGAUGGCUGAAAAGUUACGCUUAUAAUGAGCCCGAAGUCAGUAGUGAUAUUGCUUUCUCGUUUAUUUUGGGUAGGUUGAACAUAGUAAAGGUCAUUUUCUUGGAUACGCAUAGUGUCCAGUCUGUUAAAUUCAUGUCCAAAUCGACGAUUUAUAGUUUGAUCAGUAUGAUAUAAUAAUGCAUAGAUUGCUUCAGUUUUAUUCAGUUUUUUCUUAGAAUGAAUUCCUGCACUUUAAAGCUCCUCUAUUUUAUGUUACAACUAAAAUUUGGAUUCUCUAAAAAUCCUAUUUUUUACCGGUCCUAUAAGGCUUUAUGACUUGAGGAUUAUUUAAUUUAAAAAGUUGAAGAGCUUAUUGGAUGAGUAGCUAUAAUCAGGUUAAGAAAAAUAAAGUGGUAUCCAAAUAAUUUCAUUAUAAAUUUAGAUGAGUUAAUUCUUUGCCUUAUUUUAUUUACCAAAUUCAAAAUGAAAAUCAUGCAAGCAUACUCAAAAUUAAUAAGAAUGCGAUGUAGUUAAAUUAUAAUAAAUGUAGUUAAAUUCUGUUAAAUUAAACACAUCCAUAGUUAUGCAACAACUUUAUCUUAAUUUCCCUGAUUAAUCCCUUAAAAUGUCACUUAUAUCCCUUAGGAUCUUUAAUCAUUGCACAAAAAAAGAAAAAAAAACAAGUUCUCGAGAAAUAUUUAAGUUCAGAAAAUAAUUUUCAUACAAUCUUCUUCGCAAUACCCGGUAGCAGAAACAAAGUUUUAAAGUUAGUGUUUUUUGUAAAUGGUUUGUAAAACUGUGAAUCUUCUUUGGUGGGCAUAAAUGAUAUUUUAAAUUUCAUUCAAGAUAUUAUGUAUAUAGUUUUAACUGUAAUGAGAAAUUCUGGGUAUUCCGCAUUUACCAUCCAUAACGUGCAUUUUAAGAAUCCUUCACAAAAAGGAAAAGCAUGCUGGGAUGUAAAAUAAUAUUUAAGCAUUAAAAAAACUAAAACGUUAUCAAAACAUGUAUAUCUUUUGUAUUACUUUUUGAUAAGGAUUCUAAAAAUAAAGGAGUAUCUAAGGAUA